ACUUUUUCCCACUUUUCCAGGCUCAGCGGGGAGCUGUUGGAUGAGAAAGAGCCUGAAGUCUUGCAGGAGUCACUGGAUAGAUGCUAUUCAACUCCUUCAGGUUGUCUUGAACUGACUGACUCAUGCCAGCCCUACAGAAGUGCCUUUUACAUAUUGGAGCAACAGCGUGUUGGCUUGGCUGUUGACAUGGAUGGUGAGUA
rnacentral:lncRNA from 1 species